CUAACACCAGACUUCCCACGAUUAACCAUUACUCUGGGGGGCUGAUGGGGCUGCUUUUUACAGAUCACCCAGCCACGAUGACUCAGCGGGCCACAACAACACCCCCAGCCCCAUUCUUUCUCACAUUCUAAACCUGUGUAUUCAUCCGCCAGCUACCCUUGGCACAAAAUAGAUCGGUUACAUGUUUUGUUUUGUUUUUAGAAUUGUUAAUAUUGACUGAACUGAUUGCAAAAUCACCAGCAGCAACACAAAAUUGGCUGCUGGUGAGUUUCUGGUUUUAGAAGUAAUGACCAGAGUGGGUCUACCCAAGAGGAUCCAAUACAAAGAUUGUCUUCCCCCUGGAUCCCACCUGUGCAGAAACAUGAAUGCCAUGUCCUCUGGACUACAGACGAGAGGGACAGCACUCAGUUCAAAAGCCUGCAUCUCUGAUUGUAUGGGGGUGCAGUAGUGUCUAUGAAACAGACAUCUGGAGACCAUCGAUGCUAAAAGCAUGGCUUUACAGUAAGAAGCAUGAAGAACUGGCCUGCCUGCAGACCAAACUCUCCAGCAACUGAAAACAAAAAGAGGAUCCAGGACUCUUGAGCAGCUAGAAUCCUCUAUCAGAGAGCAUCCCUCUCCCAAAAGUGCAACAGCUGGUCUCCUAAACUUCCAGAUGUUUAUGGGCUGUUGUUAAAAGAACAAUGGAUGAUACACAGUGGUAAAGAUGUCCCUGUCCCAGCUUUUUGGGGGCAUGUUGCUGAGCCAUUAUUUUUCUUAACAUGGUACGCUUUUCUCAUUUUAAACAUUUGAUGUGUUUUGCAUAUGCUACUGUGAAUAGGAUAUGGAGUUGUGAGAUUUCAAUUCGAUUCACUUUCAUUCAUAUAGUGCCAAAAAACAACCUCAGUUGCCUCAAAGCAAUUUCGGCCAAUAUUUACAUUUAACACAUCGUCCCAACUGUUUGGGAAUUGGGGCUGUAUUAGCUCAACACACUCAAGCACUCCAAUACUUUUAAGAAUACUCACACACAAACACACACCCUUUCUGUGGUGUCAAGUAAUUUCUGCCUCUGUCUGUUUUUUCCUCUUCUCUUCAUUUACAUCAGAUCGGUCCAGUGUUUUCCAAGCACUGCUCCAAGAAACCUAUGAGCAGGCAUGAAACUGUGUGCCCAGUUCCUGUGCUCACAAUGUAUUUCAGCACAGUAUAUGAAACUCUACUGUGCUUUGAUGUAAUUUAUGGCUGGGCUUGUCUCCUUGUUUCCUCAGUGUUGGCGCAGUACAAGUCUCCCAGGAGGUGUGUAUCAAUAUAAGAAUGAAAGAGGAAAUCCGACAACAAAAAGUGCUGUUCAUCUAUACUUGACACGGCACUUCCUCGGGCACUACACCUGCUACAUUUGAAGUAGGCAGGCUGAACGGGCAGCAGACACACAGAGAUCCCUUUAUUUAUUACUGAGAUGUUCGGAAAUACAACGGCAAUAAAACAAAAUAAUUGCCAGCCAGAUGUUCACCAUUUGGCAUUUACCUUUGUUCACCUAAUUUACACAAUUCUCUCUCCAGCCAUUCAUUGAUACAUACAUCCACCUAUCCAUUUUCUUAACUGUUUACCCAUUUGUGUGGUGUGGGAGGUGGUGGGGGCUCGCCAGGACUGUACUCCCUCCUCCACCCCCUAACCCUUGCCCUGUUUCGAAUUUGAAUAUCAUGCAAUGUAAUUUUUGUUUCUUUCUUAUCUGCUUUCUUAAGACAUCACAAAGAGCAUUCAGAGCUUCUAUUAUCAGGUUCAGCGACUCAGUCCAGUGCACACAGUACUAAACUGUAGGUGGAUUUUCUCUUGCUGUGGGAAUCAGUGGACCGAUCGCCCUGUGCUCAGCCUUGCCCAAACACACUCACAACAAGAGCCUGUCAGCUAAAUCAAGAUGAACCCUGGCCUUUAAGAGAGGCUGUGGGAAGAGGAAGAAUAGCAACGCUCAUUAAAAUGAUUUGCCCCGCCUACACUUUAAGGCCAUUUCAGCAUGCUGAGAUGCACUAUGUUUGAAAAGAACUAGAAUAAAGAAAAGUAAAGUAUUAUUUCUCCUGCCUUACAUGUCACAAAUAUGUAAUUUUUAAGGUGUACUUUGACGGGGAAAUCAAAAAGGAGAGUCUGCAUGACACCAAACUGCCUUUUAGCCACUGCACUGGUUUAGACAUUAAACUUUAGUUGGCGUCUCAUGUAUAAAAAACACAAUUUUGCUCCCAAAGCAAAGCAAUAACAUUCACAAAACAUCAUUCUGUCAUGACAUUCUAACACCAUCUAACAUUCUGAUCUUUAGAGCUCUAAAUGGGAUUCACUUAAUAAUUUUGUGUCGUUUCCUUUGAUCCAUCUGUAUUUGCUCUUCUCUAAUUCUGUCUAGAGGAAAUAGCAUUCGGCACUGACAGUGAUGCACUUCGACAAGCAGCAGUUUAGCAGCAUUACCAGACUUCAGAAUUUUUCUCAGGAAAAUCUAAACUAUAACCCUCUAAUUUUGUUUUGCAGUUUUAACACAAUUUCAUAAUUCUCUCACACUCCCACAAGAUCUCGCUUAAGCAGCAAACCUUUACAGCAUCGUCCUGAAAAUACAUCAAUAUUUCCCUGAGAAAAAAAAAACUAUAAAAACUCCCAGAUCACAAGCUCAAUACUCAUCAUCCACACAACAUAGGCAUCUCCUAUAGAUAAAUAUAACAGUGGGCACUGGCACCAGUCCAGAACAAAGAUUUAUCGAAUAAAGGAUUUAAAACUACACUGCAAGUAGAAUUUAUUAAAUAUGCUGUGUGCUAUCAUUGGCUGUUUGGGUCUGUGUCUCCCUGUAGGCUACAUAUUAUAAGCAAACAUGAAAAUCACUCAAGUGAGACAUGUUAAACUACCGAGCAGGCUAAAUUCUUCUAGUGAUAUUCAUAUCGCUCACUGAAUGCACAACUUGAUCGACUUUGUGUCAGCUAAUGAUGCCUUGAAAGGAAGGUUUUGGAAAAAAAAAAGCUAGAAGGCUAAAAAUCUCCCCUUUCUCCCGUCUCUUGUCCCUUCCCAUCCAUCUCUAUCAGUGUUAAUGGAGUGUCUGUUCACGUGUCAUCGUCGGUGUGCUGCGGGAAUCUAAGUCUAAUUGGAUGGGCAGGGGCAAUGCUUUGUUUAACUACAGACAUGACAGGCUAACGAGGACAAAAACCCUGGCACAAAAUAACCUUGCACGCUCACUGUGAUACAUGCAUAUAACGAUGCACACUCACACAGACAGGCAUGCAUCAACAUGCAUUUGAUUUCUGUUUGCUGUAUACUUAGGGCUAUUUUUUAUUUUCUUUUAACAUCAUGAUUUCUGGGUCUUUAUCCAACGAUGUACUCCAGGAUCUAGCAGACACAACACAUUCACAU